AAUUUUCUUAUGUUUUCUCUUCAUCCAUUUGCCCACAGGUAUUGUUUUAUUUCCCAUUCCAUGCAUAUCACAUGAAGAUUAAAUGAGAUAACAUAAAUAAGUGCUUAGCACACUGCCUGGCUAGUAGUAAGUGUUCAACAACCAGGAGCUAUCAUUAUUGUUGUCAUUAUUAUUAUUUACUUGUCUAUUUCCUAAUCUGGCUAUGAGUGGGCAGAGACUGUGUCUUUCUUAUUCUUGUUCCCUAGCAUUUAGCUCAGCACCAGGCACUUAUGGUGGGUUCUCCAUAAACAUUUUUUAGUUGGAUGGAUGGGAUGAAUGAAUGAGCUGGAAACAGACAGGCUUAUAUAGUCGGUGCUCUGUGUACCAUCUCGUUCCUUUUUCUUUUUCUUGUAUUGGAAAGACUCUUGUAACACUGAAAAAAGAGUGUAGAGAAAGGUUUUCAUAGCAGAAGCUGUUUCUCAUCUCUGUUACAUAGACAUCAUGACCCUUGUCUCCUAUGUGAUGGUCUGAGAAUCGUCUUUUUGCCAGUCACCAAUAUAUUUUUUCCUAAACAAAAAAUGAACAAUCUACACUUAUGAUUGAAAAAAGUAGAAGGCUGGGUGUGCCUGUAGGCCCAGCUACUCAGGAGGCUGAUGCGGGAAGAUCGCUUGAGCCCAGGCAU
rnacentral:lncRNA from 1 species